rnacentral:rRNA from 1 species
GAGGUUAAGCGACUAAGCGUACACGGUGGAUGCCCUGGCAGUCAGAGGCGAUGAAGGGCGUGCUAAUCUGCGAUAAGCGCCGGUAAGGUGAUAUGAACCGUUAUAACCGGCGAUACCCGAAUGGGGAAACCCAGUGUGACUCGUCACACUAUCAUUAACUGAAUCCAUAGGUUAAUGAGGCGAACCGGGGGAACUGAAACAUCUAAGUACCCCGAGGAAAAGAAAUCAACCGAGAUUCCCCCAGUAGCGGCGAGCGAACGGGGAGGAGCCCAGAGCCUGAAUCAGCAUGUGUGUUAGUGGAAGCGUCUGGAAAGGCGCGCGAUACAGGGUGACAGCCCCGUACACAAAAGCGCAUGUGCUGUGAGCUCGAUGAGUAGGGCGGGACACGUGGUAUCCUGUCUGAAUAUGGGGGGACCAUCCUCCAAGGCUAAAUACUCCUGACUGACCGAUAGUGAACCAGUACCGUGAGGGAAAGGCGAAAAGAACCCCGGCGAGGGGAGUGAAAAAGAACCUGAAACCGUGUACGUACAAGCAGUGGGAGCCCCACCACCAAAGCAUUCUCUGGUGUUGAAGGCCCUGCAA